AUUGAACGCUGGCGGCAUGCCUUACACAUGCAAGUCGAACGGUAACAGGUCUUCGGAUGCUGACGAGUGGCGAACGGGUGAGUAAUACAUCGGAACGUGCCCGAGAGUGGGGGAUAACGAAGCGAAAGCUUUGCUAAUACCGCAUACGAUCUCAGGAUGAAAGCAGGGGACCGCAAGGCCUUGCGCUCACGGAGCGGCCGAUGGCAGAUUAGGUAGUUGGUGGGAUAAAAGCUUACCAAGCCGACGAUCUGUAGCUGGUCUGAGAGGACGACCAGCCACACUGGGACUGAGACACGGCCCAGACUCCUACGGGAGGCAGCAGUGGGGAAUUUUGGACAAUGGGCGCAAGCCUGAUCCAGCCAUGCCGCGUGCAGGAUGAAGGCCUUCGGGUUGUAAACUGCUUUUGUACGGAACGAAAAGCCCUGGGUUAAUACCCUGGGGUCAUGACGGUACCGUAAGAAUAAGCACCGGCUAACUACGUGCCAGCAGCCGCAGUAAAAC
rnacentral:rRNA from 1 species